ensembl:lncRNA
UUUUCUCUUCGAGAAUCCCCCAUUUAAGCGAAAAUCACCGUUUUCUCUUCGAGAAUCCCCCAUUUAAGCGAAAAUCACGCGUUUUCUCUUCGAGAAUCCCCCAUUUAAGCAAAAUCACGUUUUCUCUUCGAGAAUCCCCCAUUUAAGCGAAAAUCACACGUUUUCUCUUCGAGAAUCCCCCAUUUAAGCAAAAAUCACGCGUUUUCUCUUCAAGAAUCCCCCAUUUAACCACAAAUCACGCGUUUUCUCUUCCCAAAUCCCACAUUUAACCCGAAAAUCACGCGUUUUCUCUUCGCAAAUCCCCCAUUUAAGCAAAAUCACGCGUUUUCUCUUCGCAAAUCCCCCAUUUAAGCGAAAAUCACGCGUUUUAAUCUUCGAGAAUCCCCCAUUUAAGCGAAAAUCACUCGUUUUCUCUUCGGAAAUCCCCCAUUUAAGCGAAAAUCACGCAUUUUCAUCUUCGAGAAUACCCCAUUUAAGCGAAAAUCACGCGUUUUCUCUUCGCAAAUCCCCCAUUUAAGCGAAAAUCACGCGUUUUCUCUUCGA